UACGUAGGGGGCUAGCGUUGUCCGGAAUCAUUGGGCGUAAAGAGCGUGUAGGCGGCCCGGUAAGUCCGCUGUGAAAGUCGGGGGCUCAACCCUCGGAUGCCGGUGGAUACUGUCGGGCUCGAGUACGGAAGAGGCGAGUGGAAUUCCUGGUGUAGCGGUGAAAUGCGCAGAUAUCAGGAGGAACACCUAUUGCGAAGGCAGCUCGCUGGGACGUUACUGACGCUGAGAAGCGAAAGCAUGGGGAGCGAACAGG
rnacentral:rRNA from 1 species